GAUGAACGCUAGCGGCAGGCUUAACACAUGCAAGUCGAGGGGUAUUGGUUUUCGGACCAAGAGACCGGCGCACGGGUGCGUAACGCGUAUGCAAUCUACCUUUUGCAGAGGGAUAGCCCAGAGAAAUUUGGAUUAAUACCUCAUAGUAUAGUACUUUGGCAUCAAGGAACUAUUAAAGUCACAACGGCAAAAGAUGAGCAUGCGUCCCAUUAGCUAGUUGGUAAGGUAACGGCUUACCAAGGCUACGAUGGGUAGGGGUCCUGAGAGGGAGAUCCCCCACACUGGUACUGAGACACGGACCAGACUCCUACGGGAGGCAGCAGUGAGGAAUGUUGGACAAUGGGCGCAAGCCUGAUCCAGCCAUGCCGCGUGCAGGAUGACGGUCCUAUGGAUUGUAAACUGCUUUUANACAGGAANAACGACUACUUCGUGAAGUAG
rnacentral:rRNA from 1 species